rnacentral:rRNA from 1 species
UACGUAGGCAGCGAGCGUUGUUCGGAGUUACCGGGCGUAAAGGGUGUGUAGGCGGUCUUUUAAGUUUGGUGUGAAAUCUCCCGGCUCAACCGGGAGGGUGCGCCGAAUACUGAGAGACUUGGAGUGCGGGAGAGGAAAGUGGAAUUCCUGGUGUAGCGGUGAAAUGCGUAGAUAUCAGGAGGAACACCGGUGGUGUAGACGGCUUUCUGGACCGUAACUGACGCUGAGACACGAAAGCGUGGGUAGCAAACAGG